UACGGAGGGUGGCGAGCGUUGUCCGGAAUCACUGGGCGUAAAGGGCGCGUAGGCGGCCUGAUAAGUAGGGGGUGAAAUCCUGCGGCUUAACCGCAGGGCUGCCUUCUAAACUGUCAGGCUGGAGCACAGUAGAGGCAGGUGGAAUUCCCGGUGUAGCGGUGGAAUGCGUAGAGAUCGGGAAGAACAUCAGUGGCGAAGGCGGCCUGCUGGGCUGUUGCUGACGCUGAGGCGCGACAGCGUGGGGAGCAAACAGG
rnacentral:rRNA from 1 species